GUCCACGCCGUAACGGUGGCGCUAGUUGUGCGAACCUUCCACGGUUGUGCGACGCAGCUAACGCAUUAAGCGCCCGCCUGGGAGUACGAUCGCAAGAUUAAACUCAAAGGAAUUGACGGGCCCGCACAAGCAGCGGAGCAUGCGGCUUAAUUCGACGCAACGCGAAGAACCUUACCAAGGCUUGACAUAUACAGGAAUACGGCAGAGAUGUCGUAGCCGCAAGGUCUGUAUACAGGUGGUGCAUGGUUGUCGU
rnacentral:rRNA from 1 species